UACGUAGGUGACAAGCGUUGUCCGGAUUUACUGGGCGUAAAGAGCGCGCAGGCGGUCGUUCAAGUCGAAUGUGAAAGCCCCCGGCUCAACUGGGGAGGGUCAUUCGAUACUGCUCGGCUCGAAGACAGGAGAGGGAAGUGGAAUUCCCGGUGUAGCGGUGGAAUGCGCAGAUAUCAGGAGGAACACCGGUGGCGAAGGCGGGUCUCUGGGCAGUAACUGACGCUGAGGAGCGAAAGCGUGGGGAGCGAACAGG
rnacentral:rRNA from 1 species